AUUGAACGCUGGCGGCAGGCCUAACACAUGCAAGUCGGGCGGUAACACAGGGAGCUUGCUCCUGGGUGACGAGCGGCGGACGGGUGAGUAAUGUCUGGGAAACUGCCUGGUGGAGGGGGAUAACUACUGGAAGCGGUAGCUAAUACCGCAUAACGUCGCAAGACCAAAGAGGGGGACCUUCGGGCCUCUUGCCAUCAGAUGUGCCCAGAUGGGAUUAGCUAGUAGGUGGGGUAAUGGCUCACCUAGGCGACGAUCCCUAGCUGGUCUGAGAGGAUGACCAGCCACACUGGAACUGAGACACGGUCCAGACUCCUACGGGAGGCAGCAGUGGGGAAUAUUGCACAAUGGGCGCAAGCCUGAUGCAGCCAUGCCGCGUGUAUGAAGAAGGCCUUCGGGUUGUAAAGUACUUUCAGCGAGGAGGAAGGCAUUAAGGUUAAUAACCUUGGUGAUUGACGUUACUCGCAGAAGAAGCACCGGCUAACUCCGUGCCAGCAGCCGCGGUAAUAC
rnacentral:rRNA from 1 species